UAGUGAUAGUUUUUAGUAUGACUUAUUGGAAAUGGUUAGGUUUGCUUUAAUUAAAAAUAUAAAUAAGAAUCUAGGUUAUUUUAAAGUGACAAAAAGCUUAAUAAAAUAAA
rnacentral:sRNA from 1 species